AGGAAACAAACCACAUUGCCAUAUGUGCACCUAUGCAACAAUCCUGCAUGUUCUGCACAUGUGCCCCAGAACCUAAAGUUCGAUAAAAAAAUUUUUUUAAAAAUUUUGUUUAAAAAAAAUCUAUUACUCAAUAACUUGUAUGAAAAUGUUCAUAACACCUUUACUUAUAACAGCCCAAACAAAAGUAGAUACUACCCAAAUGUCUAUCAACUGACAAAUGAAUAAACAAAUUUUGGCAUAUAAAUACAGUGGAAUACUAUUCAGCAAUAAAGAAAGAACCAAUACAUGCUACAACAUGGAUAAACCUUGAAAACAUUGUGCUAAGUGAAAGAGGCCAGUUACAAAAGAAUUGUUUAAUUCCAUUUAAAUUAAAUGCCCAGGACAGGAAAAUCUGUAAAGAGAGAAAGUUUAUUAGUAGUUUCCUAGGACUGUGUGGGGGAUGGUAAGGAGAUGAGGAUUUACUGCUAAUGGAUACAAGGUUUCUAGGGUUGUCUUGUGUGUGGUUUUUUUUUUUUUUGGUGUAAUAAAAUGUUCAAACUUGAUUAAAAAUAUUUUUUAUAUCAUAUAUUUAUUUAAAAAAAUAAAAUGGGAAAUUGACAAAGUUACCACAUUAUUCUGCAUGCUAACAGGAUUUCCCAAGCCUGUGAGAGAUAACAUUUCUUGACCAAUUAAAAAAAAAAAAAAGACUUUCCCAACAACGUAAAGAUAGGAAACCUUUCAAUCCAAAUUCAAGGUCUUUAUUACUAGUUCCACCUCAUAAGCUAGUGGGAUGUAUCUGUGUCAGAACUGAACUCCUUAGUAAAGAAAGCUUGAGAAGACACUACACAAAGAUGUUACUAACAGAUGAUGAUUUGUUAAAAUUAUACAGCAAUCAUCUUUUGGCCUGCAAAUAGUGAACAUCAGAAUUCUCCACCACCGGGGAUCUAGCUCCCCAUCAUAUUAUUAUUCUGAGUCCAGGAUAAUUACAAUCACAUGGCAUUUGUUUCUGCAUGCUUUCUUGGCCCAAAACCUGCAUGACGACAUACAAUUUACAGGAUGGGAUUUGAAAUUCCCAUUCUCACACGGCAUAGUUAGGGAGCGUUACCAAUAAUAAAGAAUAAAAGUUAUACAACAUUGAUUAUUAUAAAUUAUAUUUGUUCGUAUGCACCCCCAUUCUCCUUGUUAUGUCCAGAUCCUUUCCUGCAGAAAACGUGGUGUUCCUAUAUAAUACCAAUGACAUCAUUAAUGAUGAUUAGGAUGAGCUGUAGAGACGUUGAUUCUGAAAAGAUGUAUGUGCAGGUGAGACGCAAUCUGAUUGCAAACACUGACACAGUAGCGGAUCAAAGAAAGAGAAAACCAGGGCAAUCCAAAGUACAAUAUAUUCAUCAAUAAAGCUGUUAAAAUACUGGUUCAGAAACAAAAGUGCUGGACCUAUGAAUGCUGUGUCAUGCAAAUGCAUUUCACUUUUCGUCAUGUGUGCAACCACAAGCUUAUUGGUGAUUUUAGCAGAUACAAAACCAAAUGCGUUUAAUAAAAAUAAAAUUACGAGAGUGAUAAUUAAACACACAUUGGGGAAAAUUCAGUCUUAAAAUCUGUCCUUUAUCUCACUACACUGAGAUACUCCAAUGAGCUAUGUAACCUUCCAGUCUUCUUUGUUUACAUUCUCAAGUAAUAACAAAUACAUCUUCCUUUACAAAGAAGGCAGAAAAGAAAGAAAACAUUACAACAAAGUCCUCUAUACUACCUUGGUCUUCAGUCACUGCCUACUCCUCUAAAUCGAGAUUUAACCAAUGUUUGUUAAGUAUCUUUUCAGAAUUUUCUCUGUAUAUUUUUGCUCCACAUGGAUGUACCCAGAGUAAAUAUAGACAGUAUUGUACUAUUCUGCACCAAAGGUUUUUGUUUAUGUGCAAUAUAAUUAUUUGGUAGCUUCAUGUAACCAUCACCACAAUCAAGACACAGAACUAUUCUAUCAUCACAGGAUACAUACAGAAAUGCAAAAUAAUAAGAAAUAUAGUAAACAUCCCUUGGCUCUAUCUAUAAUAUAGUUAAAGUGAGAGUCAAAUAAAAUGCUAGGGUGCAUGUUGACCCUGAACCAACUUAAGAUUUUGGUAGGUCUCAUCUAUGACCACUAGCCUCAAGCCACCCCCAAAAGGGAAUAAUCAUAGUAGGACAGCAGGAGUUGCAAGGACUCUGAGCGCUCCUGGAUCAGCUCUGGGUGGCUGGAUCGGUGGUACCAUGGCAGCCGUGGUGUGCUUGGAGCUCCAAGGGCACACGGCCCAGGAAGCUCAGUGUGUGCCCUCGGGGGAGGGGGGUUCUAGGCCCGCUGGACACCAUGAACCACCUGAAUGUGCUGGCCAAAGCCCUCUAUGACAACGUGGCCGAGUCCCCAUAUGAGCUCUCCUUCUGCAAGGGCGACAUCAUGACGGUGCUGGACAGGACACGCAGGGCCUGGACAGCUAGUGGCUCUGCUCACUGCACGGGCACCAGGGCAUUGUGCCCGUGAACCGCCUCAAGAUCUUAGUGGGCAUGUACGAUAAGAAGUCAGCAGGGCCGGGCCCUGGUCCACCCGCUGCCCCUGCCCAGCCUCAGCCCGGCCUCCCACAGGGCCUCCAUGCCCCAGCGCCUCCAACCUCCUAGUACACGCCCAUGCUCCCUGCCACCUACCAGCCCCUGCCUGACAGCGUCUACCUGGUGCCCACCCUGAGCAAGACUCAGCAAGGCCUCUACCAAGCCCCCGGUCCCAGCCCUCAGUUCCAGUUGUCCCCAGCUAAGCAGACAUCUACAUUCUCGAAGCAGACGCCCCAUCACCCGUUUUCCCAGCCUGGCCACAGACCUGUACCACAUACCCCCAGGGCCUGGAGGCUCUGCCCAGGACAUUUACCAGGUGUCACCUUCUACUGGGAUGGGGCAUGACAUCUACCAGGUUCCCUCGUCCAUGGACAUACGCAGCUGGGAGGGCACAAAGCCCCCGGCAAAGUAGUGGUGCCCACCCGUGUGGGGCAGAGCUAUGUAUGAGGCUGCACAGCCGGAGCAGGUCGAGUAUGACAUCCCGAGACACCUGCUGGCCCCCGGCGCCCCAGAACAUCUACAGGGUGCCCCCUGUUUGGGGGCUGCUUCCCAGCCAGUAUGGCCAGGAGGUAUAUGACACACCCCCAUGGCUGUCAAGAGUUCCAAUGGCCGAGGCCCGUUGCUGGAGGUGUAUGACAUGCUCCCUAGUGUGAAGAGCCUGCCCCUGUCCAGCCACCACGCAGUCUACAACGUUCCUCCAUCGGUGAGCAAGGACGUGCCUGACGGCUGCUACAGCGUGAGGAGACCUACGAGGUGUCCCGCCUUCACCAAGGCCAAGCCCUUUGACCCGACCCGCACCCCGCUGGUCCUGGCUGCGCCCCCUCCAGACUUCCCGCCGGCCGAGGACGUGUAUGAUGUGCUGCCCCCAGCUCCUGACCUCUACGAUGUGCCCCCUGGCUUGUGGCAGCCUGGCCCAGGCAGCUGUAUGACGUGCCCGGUGAAUGGGUGCUUCCUCCUGAGGUGGCUGACGGUGGCAAGGCUGACGAUGCUGUGUAUGCGAUGCCUCCCCCAGCUGAGCGUGAGGCCCCAGUGGAGGGGAAGCGCCUGUAGGCUCCCAGCACCGGCAGCACGCACAGCAGCCAGCCGGCAUCCUCCUAGGAGGUUGUGGGGCCGGGAGGAGAACCCCUGGAGUUGGAAGUCGCUGUGGAGGCCCUGGCUCGGCUGCAGCAGGGUGUGAGCGCCACCGUUGCCCAUCUCCUGGACCUGGCAGGCAGCGCCGGUGGGACCUGACGCUGACACAGCACCCCUGAACCACAGGAGCCACUGGUGCAGGAGCUGCAGGCCACCUUGGCUGCAGUCCAGAGUGCAGUCCACGAGCUGCCAGAGUUCACCCACAGCGCUGUUGGCAACGCUGCCCACACAUAUGACCACGCCCCGCACGCCAAGCUUAGCCGGCAACUGCAGAAGAUGGAGUAGGUGCACCAGAGGCUGGUGGCACAUGGUCCGGCCCUUGACACUGGCCGGAGAGGCCCAGGAGCCACCCCUGAAGACCUGGACCGGCUGGUGGCCUGCCCACGGGCCGUGCCUGAGGACGCCAAGCAGCUGGCCUCCUUCCUGCGUGGCAACGCCUCAUUGCUCUUCAGGCGGACCAAGGCCCCUGCACCAGGGCCUGAGGGGGGUGGCACCCUGCAUCCCAACCUCACUGACAAGAUCAGCAGCAUCCAUCUUAGAGGUCAUGGCCCCUGCCCUCACCCACUAAGUUCACCUCCCAGGACUCACCAGAUGGGCAAUAUGAGAACAGCGAGAGUGGCUGGGUGGAGGACUAUGUCUACGUCCACCUUCAUGGGAAGAGUUUGAGAAGACCCAGAGGAGCUGCUAGAAAAGGGCAGCAUCACACGGCAGGGCAAGAGCCAGCUGGAGCUGCAGCAGCUGAAGCAGUUCCAACACCUGGAACAAGAGGUGUCACACGGCCCAUAGUUGACGACCUGACCAACUGGACGCCGGCCCAGCCCCUGGCCCCAAGGCGGACGGGCAGCCUGGGGCCCUCGGACCAGCAGCUGCUGCUCUUCUAUCUGGAACAGUGUGAGGCCAACCUGACCACGCUGACCAAUGCCGUGGACGCCUUCUUCACUGCUGUGGCCACUAACCAGCCACCCAAGAUCUUUGUGGCACAUAGCAAGUUCGUCAUCCUCAGCAUCCACAAGCUGGUGUUCAUCCAGGAUACACUGUUUUGGCAGGCCAAGGCGGCCGACGUGCAUAGCCAGGUGACCCACUAUAGCAACCUGCUGUGCGACCUCCUGUGCGGCAUCGUGGCCACCACCAAGGCCUCUGCCCUGCAGUACCCAUCACCCUCUGCUGCCCAGGAUAUGGUGGAGAGGGUCAAGGAGCUGGGCCACAGCACCCAGCAGCUCCGCAGCGUCCUGGGCCAGCUGGCAGCCCCCUGAGGGCAGUGAUCCCGGGAGGGAGGCAGGGGAGGGGUGUGGUGGCCCCAGCUCCCCAUCCCCCGUCUCAAGAGUAGCUGUGUUGCAGGCCUGGGGACAGGACCCCAGCUCUGCCUCAGGCCUGGCACCCCGGAUGCCCAGGAUCUGUAUAUAUUUAUGGCUGGGUAGGGCGUGGGGCCGUGCCCCUCAGAGGAGCCGAAGCCCAGGGGCUGGCCAGUGGCCUUCCCCAUCGUGCACCACAGGCCCGGGCUGGUCCCCAGGCAGGGGGCUGGAGUGUGAGGGCCCACAGCCUGCAGGACCUUAUGCCACCCGAGGGCUGAGCCUGGCCCCCAGAGGGUGCCCUGUCCCGACAGUGCCAAUAUAGUUUGGUGUGUUCCUCCGCCUCACCAGGAAAAGACCCUGAAGAACUAUUUUUCAUUAUUGGUUUUCCAAUCAUUUGACUAACAGUCUCCAUUUAAAUAAAGUUUUAAAA